rnacentral:lncRNA from 1 species
GUUGAACUCUGAUAGUAAAGAGAUUUACCUGGAUCACUGUUUCCUACAGCAGAAACACCUGGAGGGCUUGGGAGUUUCCUAGAUCUGAGAUCUCAAGGCCUCGAUUCUUGGUCUCCCACCUGUGAGGAGCCUGCCUUCAGCAGUUCCAAAUAAAAGACCUUUUGAUUCCACCAUCCCUUCAAGGUCUGGGUUUUGACCUUGAUGGUAUUUAUUGACUGAGGUCAUCCAAACAAGAACUUCCGAAAGCCAUAGCAUCCAGUGGUUUUUAUGGGGCUGACCAAGACAAUAAGGAGGAUCCCUUGAAUUGCUAAGUCUGGGAAUCCAGAGAAGGUGAUUUGAGUAAGGCCUGUGUGAGGAUGGUUGCUUUACAAGACCAAGCAGACCACAGGUGUAGUGAAGCUGCCCCAGAUCCUUCACGAGGACAUGGCGUCCAGUAGCCCAGGAUUCCUCAGGGAAGAAACACCUAAAUCCUUGGGAAAGAAGGGAAAUGAAUGACUCAGUGGUGAGAAUAAGUCUGCAUCACUGGAACGCAUUUCAUGUUGACAUAAGAAAUUUGCAGAAUUUGGAAAAUGGAGCAAACUGUAUCCUAUGAAAAUCUUGCAAGGUUU